rnacentral:rRNA from 1 species
UUGUAAAUGGAAUGAUGGAAAUUUAAACCCUUUUUAAAGUAUCAAUUGGAGGGCAAGUCUGGUGCCAGCAGCCGCGGUAAUUCCAGCUCCAAUAGCGUAUAUUAAAAUUGUUGCAGUUAAAAAGCUCGUAGUUGAAGUUCUGCUAAAAGUAACCGGUCUGCUUUUAAUAAAAGUGGUAUCUUGGUGUGUAUUUAGCAAUGAUGUCCUUUGAAGUGUUUUUUACUUUAUUGUAAUAAAGCAUAUUCAGGACUUUUACUUUGAGAAAAUUAGAGUGUUUCUAGCAGGCUGACGCUUUGAAUACUGCAGCAUGGAAUAAUAAGAUAGGAUUUUAGUUCUACAUUAUUGGUUUUAAGAGCUAAAUUAAUGAUUGAUAGGGACAGUUGGGGGCAUUUGUAUUUAACUGUCAGAGGUGAAAUUCUUAGAUUUGUUAAAGACAAACUACUGCGAAAGCAUUUGCCAAAGAUGUUUUCAUUAAUCAAGAACGAAAGUUAGGGGAUCGAAGACGAUCAGAUACCGUCGUAGUCUUAACUAUAAACUAUGCCGACUAGAGA